AAUUGAAUUCCCCGCACAACCGGCAUCAAAUAAUUUCUCCGAAAAUUGACGGUUCCGACUUCCGAUAGAAACUCCACGGUACGUUGUACGCUAUCAGCCCACCGCACUCCGCAGCGCCUACCCUUCAGGCCUUCAUCGUGGCGUAACGGGCAACUCUGCCAUUUUUCCUCCUGCGUUCGAGCGUUUACUCAAAUAGCUCUGAGCCCAAAGGAAAGGGAGAAGUUUUUUUUUCUCUUAAAUUUAUUUAUAGUCUCUCUAUCCGGUUUCGAUUUUUUUUCCACUCGGUUCCUGGCGGAGGAAACCAUAAUACGAACUGGGCUCCCGGAUGAAUGAUGAAUUCAUGGGGACCUAAACAACUUGACAUACGCCAGAUCUACGCUCGAUACUGUGAUAUUGUAUCUGGAAACGAUCAUGCAGCUUCAAGGGAGUUGUUAUCCAUGCUUUCACAUUCAAUUGAAUCGCAAGGGCUUGCAAGGAUUGGGAUUCUCACUGACCUCUCUAAGCUCAUGUCUUGCCUUAAUUUGUCAGUUGAUUCUCGGCGAUUUAGUUGUUUCUAUGAUUUUGUCUUCUUCAUCUGCUGUGAGAAUGGGCAGAAGAAUAUCACUGUAAGCAGGGCUAUCACAGCCUGGAGAUUGGUUUUAGCAGGGAGAUUCCGCUUACUUGAUCAGUGGUGUUGUUUUGUUGAGGAGCACCAACGCCACAAUAUAUCAGUGGAUACAUGGCAACAAGUGUUAGCCUUUAGUAGAUGUGUAAAUGAAGAUCUUGAUGGUUAUGAUCCGAAAGGUGCUUGGCCUGUGCUCAUUGAUGAUUUUGUUGAGCAUAUGUACAGUAUCAAUCAAUCUAACAGUAGCAGCAGAGAGUUUUACCGCAGUUGCAGUGACAUGCAAGCUGAACCUGGCAUACCAAGCACUUUUCGUGGAUUGGCUCUACUUCCUGGAUCCAAGAGGAAGCUUUUUUCUGACAGUGAUAGAGUUCACAAGGAAGCAGAAGAGUCCUUGAUCGAUAAAUCGCACUUGGCAUGCCUAAGAUUCAAGAGAUUGAAACAGAGCUUUGGUCUCAGAAGACGAGGACGUCGGGACUCAAACAUGGCUACAGCUCUGGCUGAUACAACAGAAGACAUGGCUAAACAUGGCUCUCUUGCUUGCCUGAAAACUUCUGCAUGUGCUGUGGAAGACGGCUUAGCUAAAGUCUUUGAAGGGCAACUGCUAAUAGGCUGCUGUUUCCAGUUUGAACAUAAGGGUUCCUACACUUGACUUUCCCACAUAAGAACUGUGGUAUAAGUUCGGGUGCUGAUUCUGCGAAAGUCUUCCAUGGAACGCAUUGACAAACGAUCAGUGAUACCAUCCAUAUUAGACUCGUUGCCCGCCAUUGCUGAUUGAUGGGUAUUCUAUCGUCGGAAUCAAUUUAGUGGAGGGCCGCAAGAGAAGAUUCACUGCUUGUUGCUAGCUGCUAAACCUAAUUGUUUACUUGCAGCAAGAAGGAGAUCUCCAUUGUUGUUCCUUAUAACAGUCACAUGACCGGCAUUCUGAGAGAAGAGGAGAGUGCCUUCGAUGUUGAUUUUGAGCCAUCUAGGAGGGGGAGGGCACAAAUGCAGGGAGAAUGCAAUGGCUGGCAUUGGUUGGUGGCCCAUUGCUCCGUUGACAACCCAUUCUUCAAGUUGGUUAUGAAAUCACAGUAGUAUGAAUGAACAUCAAGUUAUUUGUAUUCUUUUCGUUGAUAAUACAUAAUAUUAUUAGUUUGAUUUAGGUUUUAUGAUACACAAUGAUAUGCUUAAACUGGUGCUACUUCGUGGUGGAUUCUUGCUUA